GCAGAGGCUGCACAGCUUCCCACAGCUCACAUCUCACACCUGCAGCGGGCCCGCUGGUUUCACACAGGAGGCCCGUGGUCUGUCCAUUGGAAGAUACAUGAUUCGCCUCACAAAUAUGGAUUUCUAUUCUACUUCAGGACCUAUCCAUGCAUACGCAUCUGCGCUCCGGUGGUCAGGCUGCACUGCCAAAACCCGUUGGAUCUCAACUCAAACUCGAUCUGUAUGGAAAGACAGUGAUUAUAAGGAACACCUUUUUCCCCCUUUCUUUUAGAAUCAGAAUCAACUUCUCUGUUUAACUCUAAGGUAAAUUUUUGUUUUUAUUUGAGUAUAUUUUUGCUAUCUGGCGCGCGUAAACUUUAACGGUCUCCUCGAAAGUUGCUGGAAGUGUUACAGAAAAAAGGGAGGUAGCCGAGCUGGAAGGCCCGCGACGGGGAGGGUGAGGGAUGGAGAUGGGGAGACGAUGCUUUCGGAAGUGCUGCUUUGAUGCGUUUUGAUGCAGGAGGGAGAAAAGAGACACGCAGAGCAGACGUGCAGACCCGGCUCCAGCCUCUGAUACACGCCUUCAUUGCGCAGUAACUGAUUUAAAAUGUUUUCUUUGAGAUGUAAUAUACGCAAAUGUAAAACAUACUUAGUAGCUUUUUGUCAAUGUAACUAUCACCCUGCGUUUAAUUUAAGUUGUAUUUUUGUAGUUUUGCAGAAUCAAUAUCUGAAAAAGGGUCGCUGUGAGUUUGACAAGAAUGCAUGGUCGUUUUUGUGCAACGAAUUAACUGAUUCAUGAUUAAUUAUCAAUAUUUUAUAGCUGAAACAUUUGAAAUGCACUUCAUCACUAAAAGUGCAUAAUGCAUUUAACAGGCGGAAUCGCAGUAUAAACAGGUGUUCCCAUCAUUAACGUGAUGGGUUUCGGUGUAAAAUAGUAAUAACACCAGCAAAUCCGUCUCUAAAAUUUAAGUUUCAUUAUACACUCAGUCGUCCUUUUGCAUCAGUAAUCUACAUCUUCCGUUUACAAGGCAGAGGCCAGCCUCUGAAGAAGAGUAACAUUCCCAUCAGGGAUAAUUGACUGAAGAGACUUUCGGGGAAACGGCAAGAGUAAUUACUGCAGGUUAAGUGCACGUCCCGGAGCCCAGUGGAGGCAGCUCUAUCCCUCACCUGGGACAUGACUCAGCACACUUCAGGUCAUCCGGCCAUUUCCCUGACCACUGGACCACACCCCGACCUACUCUAAACCCGCAGGACAGCCACGUUCGCUUCCAUCACGUAAUGUAAUGGUUGUUUUAUUUACUGGCUAAACUGUUUGCAGAAAGACAGCCCACACUAACAUGUUUAUCUAGUCAGAUGCUAAAAAAGCAUAUAUUUCUUUUCUUUAUUUUCAUAUUCAGCAGCUUCUAAAUAAGAUUAUGCUUUAUGUAAACUGAAACAUUAUAUGUUUCUCUCCUGGCUAAGAUGGGAGAUCCAGUCUUAAUGCAUUCGAUUUUAGAUACAAAUGAUAAAAUGUGCAUUUUGCCAUUCAUAUCUUACACCUGCCUCUCUGUCAAAGCGCAGGACAGAGUUCAGGCUUCGGUUGUCUGGGUUAAACAAAACAAACUUCCCCUAUGCUGUAUGCUUCCUGUGAAUCUCAGCAAGAAAAGACUGUCUGGGGAAACAAAAAGGGAGCUGGACUUACAUUAAGCUGUACUUCAGGAUAUAUCAUUAGGUUAAAAAUUGACUGUGGCUGUUCUCCAUAAUCACUUAGAGUGGAGACAUGUUAGGAAAGGAUCUCUACAGUGACGUCUAACUUUUUUUUGUUGUGCUGACCAGAUAUUAAAGGAUGAUAUUUAGGCUCUCAGCACAGCACUUUUAUUUUUGCAUUAAAGUACAAUUACAUUCAUGUAGAUAGUUCCUAAUCAGCUCACCUGUUUUUAGGUUUUUAUCAAGAUGUGUUGGUUCAGCAGUGAAAGAAACAAACUGUGUGUGCAUGUAGUGUAUAUGUAAAAAAAUAAUAUAAUAUUCUUGCGUUAGCCUAGUGAAGCUGUCAGCGCGGCUGCCGGUGGGUCAGUGUCUGCUUUCACCUAAAACUCUCCCUGUGUGUUUACAGCAUGUCUGUUUCAGGACUGAAUGGAUGAACCCAGCCUGCUGCCGUGUCCAUCCACCUGCCCUGUUUCCUGUCUGACUAAUGUUCUUUUUUGUGUGCGUGCGUGCAUGCGUGUGUAUGUGUGUUUGUUUUAUAUGUGUCGUUGUGUGGAAAUGGUUAUAGAUGGGACUACACCGUCACACUGGCAGUCUGAAUCAUUACUCACAGAGAUAGGGAGAGACCCAGGGCCGAGGAACCCCUAACAUCCUCCACCUUCCUGCACUGACACGCACACACUUGCACACAUAGACACACUCUCGCAUUCACAUAUCCCCAGGUUAUUCAUUUGUACGCAGAGUGCCUGGCAUUUCACCAUAUCCACCCCCUCCACCCCCACAAACCCCCUUUAUUAAGAGACUGAAGCAUUGGGUUCCCUUUUGUAGGGGGGUGAGGAAUGGUUUUCGUUUGAGCCUUAUAUUCUUUGUUUGUGCUCUUUGUUCCUUACCUCUUCAUUUCUCUUAAUCUUUCAUUGUCAUUGCUUUCUCCCUUUUUCUCUGUCUCAUUUUCUCUUUUUCUUUUUAAGGGAAGCUGUCAGCCCCCCAGCCCCGAUGGCUACUUGUUUUUAGAAGACCAAAGGCAAGGAUGGGAAAAAAAAGUUGCUGCUAAUUUACAGUAUGAGUUUUUACCUGCAUUUUGAGACUCCGGAUGUAAAUCAGUGGCAGCAGAUACCGGCCUCUAGAGUUGGAAAGGUCCGGAAUUCCCACUGAUUUUGAGCAUUGGGAGUUCCCUACAAAGCCAGUGAACCUUUACUCUGGUACUUAAGUCUGGCUGUGCUGGUGGAGAUUCACUUUAAUAGGCAUAAUUAAUAAUGAGCACUACGCUGCCACAUUAGAAUCAGAGGCACAAGCAGGCUGCUACAAUGCUAAACUUUAUUUUAGAGAACCUCUUAUGAAGUAGAUGCAUUUAUUAAGCUAGUUUCUGGCCUAGUUUAUUAAGCAUAUUUAUAGUAAUAAUUCUUUUGUAUUUAUAACUAAUCUUCCCAAG